UCCCGCCUUCAAUCUUCAAUCGUUUUCAGCAUUUAGUGCCGCCAGCGGAAAUUUAAAGCUGUAGUAAUGGGCCCGGUAACCCAUAAAGAAAGCUAAGCCCAAAAUUGAAAACAUUGGGAAUAAUCACUGAGCUUAACCCAAUAAAAGAUGGACUUCUCUUGAGCUCUUGAUGAUAAAAGUUGUCAAAAUACCCUAAUUUGAGGUUAGGGUUUUAGAUCCGUCUCUAAUAGCGCACACACCCGAGAGAAGUAGAAGCGUCUUCGAUUGCAAGGGCGAAGAUGUUUCCCGGAAUGUUCAUGAGAAAGCCGGAUAAGGCGGAGGCGUUGAAGCAGCUCAAGACCCACGCGGCAAUGUUCGGAGUUUGGGUUGCUGUCAUUCGGGUCACACCUUACGUUCUCCAUUAUUUCUCCGAUAGCAAAGAAGAACUCAAGCUCGAACUCUAAUUUCCUUCACAGGUAAAAAAUUUAUAUGUUAACGAAACGGUGUUAUGGUUCAGUUCUCUGCCUACGCAGGAACUUUGUGUAUGUAUGUCUACGUAUGCAUCUGUAUUGAAAUGAAAUCGUGAUUAUUUUCUAUGAAUUAUGUAUAAUCUAUCUUGAUUACGAGCAAGACUCAUUUUUUUAAAGUGGACUGAUUAUUUCAUGAUCAACUAUAGGUAAAAUUACAUAUUCGUUUCGUAGUGUGUGAUCAGACGUGCUUGAAUAAGGGGAUGCAGAUGACUCAUUUAUUUGUAAACCAAUAUAAUUUAUAGGUAGGUGGUAUCUUGUUUUGAGAUGAACUUGUUACUGGAAUUAACGUGAAAAAAGGGAUUUGCAAGACUGUUGGUUUUCUGCUCUUGUAUAUAAUGUGCUUUUUUGGACUAUAAAGGUUUGUAUUCCUAAGAUGCAAAUAUUGCCUAAUCAUUAUCUUGUUAUUGGAGGUGAAAUGGAAGUUUGUGCUUUGGACUGCCGGCUUAACGGGGGAUUUUUCCCACUCACUGUUCAUUCUUGCUAAAAUGUCUAUAUUACCCUUAAUGAAAUGGCCUGCCAUAUUUUGCACAAAAUAUCUUAAUUUAUUGGAAUAGUUUCAAAAUUCUUCUAUUUCUCUUAUUUCGAAUUUUAAUAUAUAGUUCCAUCAUUUGAUCUAGUAAAUUAGCAUAAUCUGUAAUAUAAUUGUCAUAUAAUUCUUUAAGAUUAUCAUAUUCCUUAAAUGAUAUAUCCAUAGUUUCUAGUUGAGAAAAAAUAUUUUUUAUUUUUUCUAAUAGUCUUUCUAACAGAUUAUCUAAUCCUUUAAUUGUAUAGCCUGGCACCAUAUAGAUAAUUCCUUACAAGUUUUAUGAUAAAUAAUAAUAACAUGAUAGAUAAGUUUUUGAAAACAUGAUAAGUAAUAAUCCCUACGAUUCUUUCAAGAUAUUAGAAGAAUUCUUUCUAAAUUUAAGAAAGACAAUAAUUUUACCUUACUUUUGAUCUUAAAUUUGUAUUCUUAGAAUCGAGUGACCUUCAGGUUCUGAAUCUGUAAACUGCUCCCUUAAACGGCCUUUUGCCUUAAUGGGAAUUUUGCUAUUUCAGCUUCUUGCCCUCACGGUAUCUUUUCUUAGAAUUAAGAAUAAAGAUCUUAAGUAGAGAAAAUUCUCUCUUUGUUAAAGUAAGAAAGAAAUUAUCUUCUUUAAUCUGUCAAGACUCUACGGGAUAGGAAGUUUAGAAACUCAUAUUUUUCUGAUAUCAAAAUAUUGGAAUUUUAUUUCUAUAAUGAUUUAUACAAGAUUUCUAUUGUAUACAAGGGGGUUUCCAGAAAAAUCGGUUUUAAAGAAAGCUUAGGGAAAGAGAAUGGUUUUUAACUCGAGAUGAUCCAUUCUUUCCCUAAAGACCUCAAUUUAUACAUGACUCAAACUUGCUAUUAUUGGUCUAUUACAUCAUUGCAUACAUCAGAAUUUGAAAAGGCUCACAUGCCUCUCUAUUCUUUUCCUCCUGGGGUCUACAUUUUCACAUGCGUUUUUUGCUUUUUCAUCAAAUGGGCAUCUUUUCUUCUAUUAUUGUCUCUCCAUCUUUGGCUCCAUAUGCAGCUGGCUAGAUGCUUUGGUAGUGGUAGGUCCCUAUCUUUUAUCAAUCUUUUUAGUCUUGUUUGCAUGUGGGGUACUCCCUCAAUCUGCAUGAUUCUUGAAUUGUUGUAAGACUUCCAUUAAUUUGAUGAUUAUCAAAUUUCUGGAUAUAUUCUUUCAAAAUAGUAGAUUUUUCUUUUCCAUUAUUCGUAAGGAGUAUCCAUCCUUCUUAUUGACAUAAGCAUCUGAAUUUUUUAUCAUAUAAGUUUUUUGCAAUGUUAUAAAGAACUUUCAUCCCCAAAACUCUUCGGGAUUUUAUCCAUAAUUUAUUGAUUUUAGGCAAUGGUUUAUUAUUUUGGGCAACUUCAAUAUGAAAAUUUCGGCCAACAUAUCCAAUUGUGAUAAUAUGUUCAGCAGGAUAGUAUAUCCUUCCGUCAACCUUGGGACUUAUUGAAUAAAAUUUGAUAUAAAUCGAUCUUCCUUGGGCAAAUUUUGAAACUUCUACUCUGAAUAUGUCAUCAAAAUUUUCAAUUUCUUUUAAAUCUUUUCAUUGAUAGAUCAAAUCCAGAAAUCCAUAAUCUGCUGUCAUUUUGACCAUGAAAGGGUCUGCAUCUUUGGUAAUUAUUAAUUUGGGAUAAACAUGAUCUCCUGAUACAAUAAAAUAUGAUUCAUUUUCUUCCAAUUCAUAAACAAUUUUGGCAAAUGAUCUAUAUUCUUCUUCUUUUGAUGAUAAAGGGGUAUCAUCAUCUUCAUCAGUUUUGAUCCUGAUAACUCUUAUAUGUUCAUCACCAUUUUUUAUAGUCACCUUCCGGGGAUCUGUUAUGUCUCGUUUGAUAUUGUUGGGUCCACUGCUGCUUCAUGGCUGUGUACUUGUUUGUAUUUUUGAGAUUGUAUCUAUUGGUAUUUCUUGUUUGGUAUUUAAUGACUCGAAUUGUGAAGUAAUAUCAUCAAUUCUAUCAUUCAAUUCUUUGGUAUAUUUGGAAUGAGAAUUGGAGAUUUCCACCAGCAAUUUGACAUUUUGUUGGAUAGAUUCUGCCAUUUGCUAUAAUUGCUCAAUUCCAAUUUUCAUAUCUUUUGAUUCCUCCAUGAAGAAUUUCAUUCGUCUUUUGACGUAUAUUAAUGAAUUUUUGAUAUUAUCCAUCUUCAAAUUCGAUAUUCCUGCUCAAAAAAUCUGCAAGAUAAUUAUUUAUUCCUUUAAUAUGAACAAUAUCAAAAUUGUAGAAUGAUAAAUAUGUUUGCCAUCUGUGUAACCUUCUAUAUUGAGGUUCCAUAGGUAACUUAUUUCUAAUAAGUCCUGGAACUUGAACUUGAGAAUUAUCAGUUUCAACAAUAAAUUUUUUAGAUAAAAGGAAUAAUGAAAACUUUUUUAUUUCUCUAAUAAUUGCUAACAAUUCUUUUUCAUGAGUGGUAUAAUUUAUUUCUGCUUGGUUAAAAGUUCCACUUUAAUAUCUGCAUAUUUCAUUUAAAUCUAUUUUUAAUAUAGCUGCCCAAUAUUUAUCCGAGACAUCAGUAUUAACAAUUAGAUUAUCUUUUUCAUCUGGUAACCUUAAUUUUGGUAAAUUUUUACAUUCUUCUUUUAAUGAUUUAACAAUUUCAGUAUGUUCUUUAUUCCAACAUUUAGUAUUAGUUUUCCUAAGUAGAAUUUGUAUCUUAUGUCUCUUUUUUGAGAGAUUUUCAAUAAAUCUUUCAGCAUAGUUUAAACAUCUUAAAAAAUUUUGUAUUUGUUCUUUGGAUUUUAAUUCAUUUGGAAAGCUUUCUAUCUUUUUAGAUAUAUGAGUCUGUAAUUUUAUUCCUUUUCUAUCUAUUGAUAAUCCUAAAAAAUCUAUUUCUUGUUUCUCUAUUAUAGAUUUCUUUUUAGAAAGUACAAUUCCUUCCUUUUUGCAUUCAUUUAUGAAUUGUAAUAAAUGAUUCCUAUGUUCUUUUUUAUUAUUAGAGUAUAUUAGUAUAUUAUCUAUAUAAAUAAUAAGAAAAUCACUAAAUUUUUUGAAUAUAUUAUCCAUUUUUCUUUGAAAUAUUUGAGAUGCAUUUUUUAAACCAAAUGGCAUAACUAACCAUUCAUUUUUUCCUUUAGGUGUACUAAAAGCUGUAUAUUGUAUACUGUCUUCUUCCAUUUUUAUUUGUCAAAAUCCUGAUUUACAAUCAAAUUUGGAAUAAUAUUGUUUUCCUUUUGCUAGGUUUAUUAGAACUUCUUUAUUUGGUAAAAAGUAACCAUCAAAUUUAGUAUAUUUAUUUAAUUCCUUAUAGCUUAUUAUCAUUCUAGCUUUUCCUCUAAUCUGCUCAGAAUGUUUCAUAAACAUAAAAGUUGGACUACUAUGAGGUCCAUUACUGGGUCUAAUUAACUUUUGUUCUAAUAGUUCUUUUAUUUGAAUUUUAAAUUCUUGCAUAUCUUGUAAGGUAUACAUCAUUGGUCUAACUCUUAUUAUAACAUUUUCUGUUAAUUCUGUUUUAGCUCUAGGAUGAAAUGGUUUCCAAAAUAAUAAUGGGUUUUUUCCAUAAAUUUUUACUAAUUGUUCUAUGAUUUUUCCAUGCUUAUCUCUAUUUCUGUUUUUAGAAUCUUUUUAUAUGAUAGUUUUUUAUUUUUUAGUUCAUUUUGUACUAUUGGUCGUUUUUCCCAUUUAUCACCAUGUUGGGCUGGCUGAACUCUGUACGGUCUAAAUUCUUUUGGUAUUUUUAAUAGAUGUGCACAAGGUGUUUGUAAUAUUAUUAUGUAAUUAUUUUGUUUAUAAAAUUGAAAUUGUUGGAUAAAGUUAUUUCCUAAUAAUAUAUCACAUUCUAGAUUAUUAUAAUUGUAUACUUUAUUUAUUAUAAUUUGUUUACUACCAAGUAUUAUAUUAACUUUUUCAGCACUAUCAAUUAUUUGAGUGCUUUCUCCAGAUUUUUAUUUCAUGAUUUUAUUAAGAAAUUUUUAAAAAUUGUUAUAUCACUUCCUGUAUCAAUUAAGGCACAAGUUUUUAUAUUUGUUUCUACUAUAGUAACUUGUACAUAUACUGCUAAUGAAAAACUUAUUUGAUUAUUCAUCCAUUUCCUAUUUUACAUAAUGUAGUUUGUCCUUUUAUGAGUUAUAUAUAACCCCUCUCUUUUUAUACUAUAAUCUUCUAAUCCAUUUAAGAAACUCAUUCCUAAUAAUAUAUGAGGUUCAAUAUCCAUACUUUCAUCCAAAUAAUAUGGUAUUAAAAAAUCAAUCCCACUUAUUUUUAUUGGUAUUUUUACCUUUAAUUCUGUAAUAUAUAGUUGUCCAUCAAAAUUCCUGUAUUCAUAUGGUUCUAUCUUGUAAGUCAUUAAUCCUUCAUUUUUAGUUGCAGCCAUAUGACAUUCACAGCUCCUGUAUCUAUCAAUAUAUUUGGUCCUUUUAUAUAUCUUCUACCGUUGAAAUAUUUUCCUUCUAUUUUCAUAUUUCCAAUAUUUUCACGAGGUUUUAUUUCUUUUAUAUCACUAGUUUCUCCUAAAUAUUAUUUUUUAUUAGGUAGUCUAAGACUUUUUGAUUUCUUUAUCAACCUUCCAUUAUGAAAAAUUAGUUUUUAAUCUUACCUUAAGAUUUUAUAUACGCCUAAUAACAAAUAAAUUAUAUUACUCAUGAAAAAGAAUUGUUAGCAAUUAUUAGAGGAAUAAAAAAGUUUUCAUUAUUCCUUUUAUCUAAAAAAUUUAUUGUUGAAAGUGAUAAUUCUCAAGUUGCAGGACUUAUUAGAAAUAAGUUACCUAUGAAAUCUCAAUAUAGAAGGUUACACAGAUGAUAAGCAUAUUUAUCAUUCAACAAUUUAGAUAUUGUUCAAAUUAAAGGAAUAAAUAAUUAUCUUUCAGAUUUUUUGAACAGGAAUAUCGAAUUUGGAGAUGGAUAAUAUCAAAAAUUCAUUAAUAGACGUCAAAAGACGAAUGGAAUUCCUCAUGGAAGAAUCAGAAGAUAUGAAAAUUGGAAUCGGGCAAUUAGAGCAAAUGAUAAAAUCUAUCCAACAAAAUGUCAAAUUGUUGGUGAAAAUCUCUAAUUCUCAUUCUAAAUAUACCAAAGAAUUGAAUGAUAGAAUUGAUGAUAUUCCUUUAUCAUCAAAAGAAGAAGAAUAUAGAUUAUUUGCCAAAAAUGUUUAUGAAUUGGAAGAAAAUGAAUAAUAUUUUAUUGCAUUAGGAGAUCAUGCUUAUCCCAGAUUAAUAAUUAGCAAAGAUACAGACCUUUUCAUGGUCAAAAUGAUAGCAGAUUAUGAAUUUCUGGAUUUGAUCUAUCCAGGAAAAGAUUUAAAAGGAAUUGAAAAUUUUGAUGAUAUAUUCAGGACAGAGGUUUCAAAAUUUGCUCAAGGGAGAUUGAUUUAUAUCAAAUUUUAUUCAAUAAGUCUCGAGGUUGAUGGAAGGAUAUACUAUCCUGCUGAACAUAUUAUCACAAUUGGAUAUGUUGGCCGAGAUUUUCAGAUUGAAGUUGGCCGAAAUAAUAAACCAUUGCCUAAAAUUAAUAAAUCGUGGAUAAAAUUCCGAAGAGUUUUGGGGAUAAAAGUUCUUUAUAACAUUGCAAAAAACUUAUAUAAUAAAAAAUUCAGAUGCUUAUGUCAAUGUGAAGGAUGGACACUCCUUACUAAUAAUGGAAAAGAAAAAUAUACUAUUUUGAAAGAAUAUAUCCAAAAAUUUGAUAAUCAUCAAAUUAAUGGAAAUCCUACAACAAUUCAAGAAUCAUGCAGAUUGAGGGAGUGCCUCACAUGCAAACAAGACUAAAAAGAUUGAUAAAAGAUAGGGACCUACCCCAAAGCAUCUAGUCAGCUGCAUAUGGAGCCAAAGAUGGAGAAACAAUAAUAGAGGAAAAGAUGCCCCUUUAAUGAAAAAGCAAAAAACGCAUGUGAAAAUGUAGACCCCAGGAGGAAAAGAAUAGAGAGGCAUGUGAGCCUUUUCAAAUUCUGAUGUAUGCAAUGAUGUAAUAGACCAACAAUAGCAAGUUUGAGUCAUGUAUAAAUUGAGGUCUUUGGGGAAAGAAUGGAUCAUCUCGAGUUAGAAAUCAUUCUCUUUCCCUAAACUUUCUUUAAAACCAAUUUUGAUCCCCCAUAUCUAUGUCUAUUCUAAAAAGCAUAUCGUAUUUUGAGAUAUUUUUUUCCUUUUUUCUAGUUUAUCUUUUAUAAUUAUUGAUCUUACAAUUCCUUAGCAAAAUUUUCUAAUAAGUUUUCUUUGAAACAUUUUAAUAUUUCUUGUGAUGCAUAUAAUUGUUCUAGAUAUCGUAUCUUAUCAAUUUCAUUUUCAAAUUUAAUGUCUUUUUUAUUUUUAACAACUUUUUUUAUAUUAUAUGGUCUCCUCAUAUAUUUGGGUUUUUUCAUUUUAUAAUUAUUCAUAAAAAUUAAUAAUUCUUUCAAAUUUUUAGAAAAGUUACUUGUUAAUUUUUUAAGGACUUAGAUAGAAGAUUUUUAUUAUGAAAUAGGUUGUUUUUAAUAUUUGUUUAAGGGUAUAUUAGGUAGUUACAAAUGUUUGGAAAAGUCGAGGGUUAAUUUGGAAAAUGGCCUCUUUUAUUUGGGUCAAUUCCAUGUAUUUCCCCGUCCUAACACACGUAUCAUACGCACUUCCUUCAAGUGUAGUGUUAUAAUGGACACCAUGCGGGAGGGGAUGGCUGUAUGGUUUAGUGAUGUUCUCUUGGGGGUUAUGAACUAUUUUUGAAUUUUGGACUUCGGAUGAAGGGUUAAUUGGGCAUGCAUCCAAAGUUUUGGGCCUGGAUUCUGCUUCUUCCUUAACUAUUCUGUUCUUUCUUAUAUAGUUUAAUGUAGCCGAAUAUUAAGAGGGAACAACUUCUGAAAGCCCAGAAACUAGUUGUGAUCUUUUUUUCGGUUUUUUUUUUUUUUUUUUCCUGUCUCCCUUUCCUUCCAUUUUUUGUUCUCAAAAAACUUAAAAUUUCUUUUUCUUUCCUGCUUUGCAACCUUUCUUCUAUAACAAUCAGAAGAAAUUACCCUCAUCCCUCCCUUUCUGUUUACUCCUACUGCUCUGGCCUGCAACAACCCCCCCCCCCCCCCCUUUUUAUGGGGGGUGUGUGUAGGCCUAUAUCACCUGUUUCUUGCUCUAUCUACACAAUUAUCAGCCUGGAAAGAUACUUGGGAAAAAUGAAGAAUAACCAUCUGGCACUUGAGAAGUGUUUAAUUAUGGUUCGCCACAAGGAAGAGUUGAAGUGUAGAAGCUAUUAAUCUGUUUACUGCUAACCAAUUUUUAAUUGACCAGGGCGAUUUCACCUCUUCUAUUUGUGGAAUCUCUUCAUAUUGGCCACUUUUGCCUGUAUAAUACUAGGGCGGGACAAUUUUUAUUUUCAUUGUGUGCUAGUACAUUGCUCGCAGCUGGUUGGCCUUGCUGUUCUAAGUUCUUUAGCUGUUCACCUUGAACUAUUAUAUAGUUUAAGGGAUCGUUUCAUUGCAUACAUUGAAUAUCUAUGAAUCAGAUAGUGCUAGUAUCUGUUUCUACCUAAAAUUUGUAUAGCAUGAUAGCUUGUAGAAGGGCUGCUUUUGACUUGUUUAAUUAUCCAACUAUUACGAUUGAUGCAUCUUCUUUUGCCGUUCUCAUGCAGUUAGUUUCGAAGGAAAUGCAAAAUGGGGGAAGGAACUGAGCCAAGAGUUAUGUUUACUUCGAUUUUUUUUUUUUUUUUUUCAUCAUCAUCUUAAUUUUUCCUCUUCUGCUGUAUCUUUCCAGCCUGCAAACCCGAGGUAGCUCAAUUAUUCGAACUAAAAAUCUAGUUUGGGUUACUGCUUUUGAUCUUUAGAUUUUAUGAGAAUGUUGAUAUGAAGCUUGUAUUCAAAAGGUGUAUGUGGCUAAGUACAUAUGUUUGUCUUCGUUAUGAUUUUCCUAUGUUUUGAAUCUGAAAAGAUUGCAACAAAUUGUAUCCCCAAAUUAAAGGGUGUCCUCACGAAUUAAGGAUUGCGUGAUUGUGUUUAAAAGGAUAAUUGCAAGAUUGUCGUAAAAAACAAAAAAGAAGUCAAGAACCAGAUUCAUUUUGCAAUAUUCUUGCCAAAGUACAAGUUCCAAAUGCACUUGCUAUAAUAUUCCAG
rnacentral:lncRNA from 1 species